CCAUGUCGGGCCCGAGCGCCGUGUCGGACCCGCAGCACCCGGCGCGGCUGCUGCGGGCGCUCAGCUCCUUCCGGGAGGAGACGCGGUUCUGCGACGCGCACCUGGUGCUGGAGGGCGAGGAGAUCCCGGUGCAGAAGAACAUCCUGGCGGCCGCCAGCCCCUACAUCAGAACAAAAUUGAAUUACAAUCCUCCAAAGGAUGAUGGCUCAACGUACAAGAUUGAACUCGAAGGGAUAUCUGUUGAUAUCAUGAAAGAGAUACUAGAUUACAUCUUCAGUGGGCAGAUCAGGCUAAAUGAAGAAACUAUCCAAGAUGUGGUACAGGCAGCUGAUCUCCUGCUGCUUACAGACUUAAAAACUCUCUGCUGUGAGUUUUUAGAAGGUUGCAUAGCUGCUGAGAACUGUAUUGGUAUUCGGGACUUUGCACUACACUAUUGUUUGCAUCAUGUUCACUACCUUGCCUCAGAGUAUCUGGAAACUCACUUUCGAGAUGUCAGCAGCACAGAGGAAUUCUUGGAACUGACUCCUCAAAAACUGAAAGAAGUGCUGUCGAUGGAAAAGCUCAAUGUUGGAAAUGAAAGAUACGUCUUUGAAGCGGUGAUUAGGUGGAUUUCUCAUGAUUCAGAAUCCAGAAAGGUCCACAUGAAGGAUGUCAUGUCAGCAGUGUGGGUGUCGGGCCUGGACGCUGCCUACCUGCGCGAGCAGAUGAUGAGCGAGCCGCUGGUCCGCGAGAUCGUCAAGGAGUGCAACAACAUCCCCCUGACACCCCCGCAGCAGGGAGAGGCCAUGCUGGCCUCCUUCAAGCCCCGGGGCUACUCCGAGUGCAUCGUGACUGUUGGGGGGGAAGAGAGAGUAUCACGGAAACCAACCUCAGUGAUGCGGUGUAUGUGUCCUCUUUAUGAUCCCAAUAGACAGCUCUGGAUUGAACUUGCUCCUAUGAGUAUUCCAAGGAUCAAUCAUGGAGUAUUGUCAGCAGAAGGAUUUUUAUUUGUGCUUGGUGGUCAGGAUGAAAACAAGGGAACGCUAAGCUCUGGAGAGAAAUAUGAUCCAGACACCAAUUCAUGGAGUUCCUUACCACCAAUGCAUGAGGCACGACAUAAUUUUGGUGUGGUAGAGAUUGAUGGGAUUCUGUAUAUUCUGGGAGGUGAGGAUGGUGAAAGGGAGCUGAUCUCUAUGGAGAGCUAUGAUAUUUAUAGCCGGACCUGGACCAAGCAGCCAGACUUGACCAUGGUUAGAAAGAUUGGCUGCUAUGCAGCUAUGAAGAAGAAAAUCUAUGCAAUGGGUGGAGGCUCCUAUGGAAAACUCUUUGAAUCUGUGGAGUGUUACGACCCCAGGACUCAGCAGUGGACAGCAAUCUGUCCUCUCAAAGAGAGGAGAUUUGGGGCAGUGGCCUGUGGAGUUGCCUCUGAGCUUUAUGUAUUUGGUGGGGUCAGGAGUCGUGAUGACAGCCAAGCCAGUGAGAUGGUGACGUGCAAAUCGGAGUUUUAUCAUGAUGAGUUUAAAAGGUGGAUUUAUCUAAAUGACCAGAACCUAUGUAUCCCAACUAGCUCUUCUUUUGUGUAUGGAGCUGUGCCCAUCGGAGCCAGCAUAUACGUGAUUGGAGAUCUCGAUACAGGUACAAACUAUGACUAUGUUAGGGAAUUUAAGAGAAGCACGGGCACCUGGCAGCGCACUAAGCCGCUGUUCCCCUCGGACCUGCGGCGGACGGGCUGCGCAGCGCUGCGGAUCGCCAACUGCAAACUCUUCCGACUGCAGCUGCAGCAGGGAUUGUUCCGCAUCCGCGUACCUUCACCGUGAUCCGUGUGCUGCCAGGGGAGGAGACUGGAAGAGUUCUGUGCAGUCCACCAUAAUCUAGCUCUAUUUAAAGGAAAAGCUGAGAAAUUACAGCUGAAACUUACACUGUAUGCUGUGCUUUGACAAAGUGCCAAGAUCCCAUAAUCAAAAGUGAUGAAUGUUCCUAAGUAUCUGUUUCACUUUGAGCUCAGUUUUCUAAGUGGCUUGGAAAAUUUCCGAAAAUGUUAUUCAGAAUAUUGCCAGCUGCUAUCUCCCGAGUCCCUGUAGCUUCCCAGUACGCUUGAGGGCAUUCAGCAUCCAGAAAACGUAAGUGAUAAAUGCACAUGAUGAAUACAAGUAAAUACUCUAGCAGUGUUCUGCAGUUCAAGUUACUGAACCAAAUGUUUACACUUAGAGUAGGAUUAACACUAGGUGUUCUUAGUUUGUUUUUUUUUUAAAGAAAACAUAAAUAAAUCAAGUCUGCUGGUGAUUGGAGCGUGUUGCGAAUGCACUCAGUGAGAUUUGACCAAGAAGUUUAAGCCUCUGUACCUGAACCAGUCACAAACUGAAUUUCUGAGCACAUUGUACUCGUGUCACGUUCCACGUGGUUGGGGCCCAGGUCUCCAGGGAUGCUCUCCAGGGGUUUUGGGUGCAUGCUCAAGAUUUAGGCACUCCUGAGAUCUCAAAACUGGCUUCCUUGGACUUGCCUAAGGGGCUGGAACCAUUCCCCAUCUGCAUUGUCUAUGGGACUGAUCCGGGAGCUGUUCUAGCCUCUGUGUGUGCAGGAGGGAAGGGAUGUGUCUUCUGGGGUCUGACUCUUGUCUGUCUGUCUGUCCAGCUCUGAUCUGUGGGUGCAUCCCUUGGAUUGUGCAAUAACCAGGCUUGAUUUCCCUCUGAAUUUGGAGCAAGGCUUUGAAGCCAGGGCUCCCUUUCUCCAGGGAUUGUACCAGUGUUGGGGCAAGAGUGAAGAGACACAGCUGACAUCUGACUUUUCUUUGUCUUUUCAGAGGGAUGGUUGACUUCAGAAGGGGAGGGAGGCUGUGAUGAUAGCAGAGGUACUGGGAUGAGGGAGGUCACCAGCUUGCUGAGUGUGUUGAACGUGCAAACAGCUGUAGAUUGAACUGGGUUCACUGGUAAAUGCCAUCACUCAGCUGUCCCUGCUCUCCUGGCACUGUGUACGCCUGCACAUGAUGGCUGAACCACAUGGGAAACAACUCAGGAGUUUUUCUGAGUUGCAGUCCAGGGGUUUUAGGUGGUUUGGCAGUUUUGAAACUUGUUUAAGUUGUCCUUGCUUGGCACUGUGGCCUUAAUUCCCCCCAGCUCAUGAGUCGAUACUGACAUUCAGCCAGGUCCUCCACAGGUGGCUGAAUGUGUGUCCUGCACAGCUCUCCAUGCAGGAUGAGGACUGGCUGGGCCACCUUGAGCUUGAGGCACUUGGGCUGGGCCUCUGCAUCCUUUUUCCUUUCCCUGCUGAGGAAUUGGACCAACCCCAGCUACUGAAAUCAGAAAAUCACCAAAUACGGGGUAGGAAUUGUGGAAGAUGGGGCAAGUGGUGGCUUUUUUCUCCCCCUUACUCCAUCUCUUCCCACAAUUCCUGCAAGAAAAGUUUCUUCUUCCCUUUUUUUCAUGUGCCACAGAUAAUUUUGGAAAAAUUUUGGAACUGUCAAUUUUAGGGAAAAAGUGUGGGGAAAAAACCGUGCUUACUGUAAGCACACAGCAGUGUCCUCUGUGCUUGUUUUACACUUGUAGUCUUGUGGCUGCUCUGCACAGCAGAGAGGGAUUACAGAAGUGAAGGUGUAAACUGCUGUUGUUGUCAUAAAAUAAAUGCCUUGAGUUUUUGAGGGAGGCACAUGCCUGGCCUGGCUCUGUUCCUUACCUGGCCUUGACAGGUGGUUGUACUCCUAAAGAGUCAGGGUUGGUUUUCAGAUCCUCUCCCUUUCUGGUUUUAUAACCUGAAGAAGAGGCAUCCUGAAGAGCCUUCUGUUUUGCUGUACCAUAGCAAGGUCUGGUUGUCCUUAAAUAUUUUGUCAGCUAGUCCUUAAAUUUUAGUUAUUGUGCUGUGUAAACCCAGCUGCUUCUGGUCAAAUAAUUUCUGUAGCUUUGAGGGUACUUCACCUUUAAAUUAAAGGCAGAUUAAUACAAAAUUACACAAAAGGACAGAGGUGAAUCUGAAACCAAAAGAAGCUCAAAAUCAGCUCGCUGAUAGCUGUGGUCAGGCUGUGUCCCUGGUGUUUGCACAGCACGUGCCUGGCACACAGCCUGCCUUCAGGAGCAGAGAUCUUGAUGAAAAUAAGAGGUUUUUAUCAAAGCUACUGAACUGCCUGGCUUAUGAACUCCCCCUCCAGAACACACUAGGCAGCUUGGUUGCUUUGCAAUAUUUCUGGUGCCUGCAUGACUCAGUAAAUGCACAAGUACAGGAGUGAGGAGUUUGGGGAGGUUUUUCCCCUGGUUUAAUUGCAAUUUCUCUGUUUGUUCCAUAAAUGUUGUGGCUGUGCAGCCUGCAUGGGCUCUGCUACCAUGCAUGUGCCAUGCAGACUGGAGGAUGCAAUAACAAAUGCAAGUUGUUGUAAGUGCCAAACUUUUGGGUUCUUCUGUGUAUAACAAUAAUUCACCUGUUAUACUAAAAUAGAGAUGCUUAAAAUUCACUGUGUUCCAAAAAAGAGCAGUGGUUUGUUUUUUUUUUUUUAAUGAAUGCUAUUGAAAGCACUAUAAAUCUACUUUUUUUUUCUUUUAAUACUGUUCUGCAGGUUUGUGUUGCUCUUCACAGCUGCCUUGAGUAUCACUCCAUGUGAUGUAUAUGGACACUUUGCUCUUUAUUAGAGCACUGGUGCCAUGCAAGUAUAUAAUAAAAGGCAGCUGACAACAGGCUUUAGUAUCUAAAAUUAUAACUGUUUGGAUUAAGUGCAAUUUGUUUGCAUUAAUCGACCUGCAGAAAGGAAACUGUGCCUCGGGAAGGGUGGCUGUGCCCAGGGACACAGGCAGACUGGGCAUUGUAACUAAGGUGUGGUUUGGUGCCAGUCAAAGCGAUGCUUUCCAAGGAAUUAUAUUUAAUUUAGCGUUAAAUGGAUCCUUUCUGCCUCUAAUUUAGCGCUGAGGAUUUAGGGGUUGUGUUCUCUCUAGCUCUUUGGAGUAUUUAAAUGGCUACUUCAGGUGGGUGGGAGGGGUGUUAAUUGCAUCUGUGUUUGUAGAAGCUGCUAUUUCCAUCUUCCCAAAGGAGUAUUUCCUUUUCCCGUUCAGGACUGAGUGCAGGCCUGUGUUUCAGUCGUCACUGCUGCAGCCUUUUGACAUUUGCCAUUUUCUGAUGCUCUUCCUUGUUUUUUCUUGGAGCUGGGAGCUGUGUCCGUAGGUUCUGUGUUCCCAGGGCACGUUGCCUGUGAGAGAAGAGCACAGGGCUUGGGAAGGUGAGCCAGUAAAAGCUGAAGGCAGUGGGGUUUGGGGGAAACUCUGCUCAUUUUCUGUGGGGGUCACCUCUGUGUGCACUGAAGUUUAUUAAUGAGUUUGGCACCUGCUCUCCAUCAUCCCUAUGGGUUUUGAUGUGGGUUUUUUUGGUUUUUUUUUUUAAGUUUUUCCCUGGGAAAUUCCUUGCUGUAGGAAGGAUUGCAGCCAGGGUUUAAGGUGACACCUCUGACCAGUCAUGCCCAGCAUGACUCUGCAGUCUGACUGCAGCUGUGCUCCAGCAAUCAAUUCUCCCAAAAUAUUGAUUAACAGGUAACCUAAAAAGACGGACUAAAGCCAUGCAAAGUGCCCAACUAGAUAAACAGCUACUUAAAAACAUUAAGCUAUGAGGUACUACCAACAGAUGAUUAUGUUGAAAAUUUAUUGGUGAUACAAAAUAUGAAUAAUAUUUUUUUUAAAAUGACUUAUUCUAGGUAGCUGCUUCUUGGUUAUAAAAGUAUCUGCAAUACAUAAAGGACUUGUAUAGAAUAAUAUUUGGAGGUUAUUUAAAAUAAUCUAUUGAAAUGUCUUGAAAAGUGAACUAGAAGACUGGAGCUUUUCAAUGAGAAAAGGCUAAACUUUGGUGCCCAGCAGUUUUGCGGGGUUUCUGUGAGCAGAGAGCACCUGCCAGUGCACUUCGGUACAUGAAGCUGCCCAGUGCCACUGCCUACCUGUGCCCUUGAAUUUGCAUAAUGAAAUUAGGCUGUUCUGAGCCCUGGUAAAAGCUGAUGGGUCUGAUUACAAUAAUAAAAAGAAGUAUACCCAGCGUAAUUAGUGUUAUUUUAUUGAAAAAAUGUGAAUUUUUAAUUUUUUUUUUAAUAUCAGGGGCUUUUGUGUUACCAGCUUAGGCACUUGAUUUAUUUAAUUUUUUUAAUUUAUUUGACUUUCCUCCAUUUCUUUUGAGUUAAUGCUGAGACAUCCUCAGUUUCUGUCGAGGGCAAGUUUCUUUCAUCUGUAGUUCUAAGCCUUGUCAGAGCCUGACAGACCCCCUGCCACAGGCUGUACACUUGUUUCACAAGUGUCAUUUCUGUGCAUUCUGUUAUUGGGCACCUCUGCCAAUUUCAGAACAGAAAAAAAACCCUGUGGAACAACUUUGUACCUGGUGAAAGCAAGAGCCAUUUUGGAAAGUUUAAAUUUCCAUCUGCAGUAGAUAGUGUGCUACAAAAACCUGAUCCUUGGCUGGGCUUGAGGUUCUCUCCUGCUUUAUUAAUUUACACAUGAUAGCAGGAAAGCAUUAUCAUUCCUGUCACUUGAUUCACUGUUUUUAUGACUUAAAAAGCAAAGCCUGCUUAUUUAUUAGACUGAGUAAAGCAAGUACACAGGGGUAUCUGCUGAGGUGAUCAAGUUAAACACAGCUGACAUUCUGUAGAGCUCUUGCUAUAGUUUUUUCUGAAGGAAGCCAGGGAGUGCCUUCUUAAGAAAUAUUUUCAAACACUUUCAGAGAUGGUCUUAAACUAGUCCAAAGGACUAAUUUGGAUUGCUUAGAGAACAUAAGGUCUGUUCUAGCUUUUGUUUGCUUGGGGAAACACCUGCUAAGUCAAUUUUAAGCUUUUAUUUUUUUUUUUUUAAUCGUUGACUUCCAAAGCCUGAGUGGUUUGCUUCUUGCAAUUGAAAUACGUAUUUAAGGGUCUGAGACUGCAUUUUGCAAUGCAUAGCGAGUGUUCUAUCCUAUCUUGGUUACAUGAUGUAAACAGCAAGCUGCCCUUCUGGGGGGCUCCUGGAAGCUCCUUAGCAGUGCUAAGGUGGGGAGAAGGUUCAGCACAAGAUUCUUCUUACACUGCACAAGCCUUGCUGUGAGUGGCUGGGUUUGGUACAGAACUCAUGGAAUUCCACUGCUGGCUGCCCUCAGAGUUUGGACCCCCCCAAAGCUCAUCAGGGGCAGGUUCUGGGUGGUCCAUGCAUGAUGUUUCCUCUGGCUUCAGAAACUGUUUUCUCUUUUGCUGUUAUCAACAGGAUUUUGCUUUCAGUCUCCCUCUGAGCACCCGGCCUGUGUCCAUGGUCCCUGGGAGCACAACUCCUCUGGGUCAGAGGGUGGCCACCAACUUGCUUCCUGUGGCUUUUGCACAUCUCUGCACAACAGUGUGUGUGGGGACAGUGCUUAGUACACAAUGAAAUGACUUUUCAUUGAGCUUGUAAAACUGAUACCAGCAGGUCAGAGAUCACCUGAACACCUGUAAGCAAACCUGCAGGUAGAGCAGGUGUAGCCCAGUCCCUCAUGACUGUAACUGUGGCUGGAAAUCUGGCACCUUGUCCAGGGGGAAAAGCCCCUAUUCCCAGCUACCUCAUUUUUUAUUUCUUUGCACUUUGUCAAAUAUGUUUUGUUUUGUU